rnacentral:rRNA from 1 species
GACGAACGCUGGCGGCGUGCUUAACACAUGCAAGUCGAACGGAAAGGCCCUUCGGGGUACUCGAGUGGCGAACGGGUGAGUAACACGUGGGUGAUCUGCCCUGCACUUUGGGAUAAGCCUGGGAAACUGGGUCUAAUACCGAAUAGGACCGCGCGCUUCAUGGUGUGUGGUGGAAAGCUUUUGCGGUGUGGGAUGGGCCCGCGGCCUAUCAGCUUGUUGGUGGGGUAAUGGCCUACCAAGGCGACGACGGGUAGCCGGCCUGAGAGGGUGACCGGCCACACUGGGACUGAGAUACGACCCAGACUCCUACGGGAGGCAGCAGUGGGGAAUAUUGCACAAUGGGCGCAAGCCUGAUGCAGCGACGCCGCGUGAGGGAUGACGGCCUUCGGGUUGUAAACCUCUUUCACCAGGGACGAAGCGCAAGUGACGGUACCUGGAGAAGAAGCACCGGCCAACUACGUG